rnacentral:piRNA from 1 species
UUGGGGAAGUUAUGGGAGGCUGG